CGUCCCCAUGAAGAAUGAUGUUCAUAUGUGAAAGUAGUGGGAUGAUUUCCAUUGAUGACGAACAAAUUAUGAUGAAUG